AUCCCAAAUUACUUUUACCGUGUUUAUUGAUUAAUGUAAGGUGUACACUGAAUAGGGAGCUCACUGAUAGAACCUAUCAAUUUCAAGAGGUGUUUCAAUAGUACCUCACCUUAUACAU